rnacentral:misc_RNA from 1 species
AACGCAUAUUGCGCCCUUUGGUAUUCCGAAGGGCAUGCCUGUUCGAGCGUCAUUAUCAAUCAUCAAGCCUGGCUUGUUGUUGGACCCCUUUGCAACUGAAACAUGUGGCAGGUCCGAAAGAUAAUGACGGUGUCAUGUUUGACCCUAGAUGCAACGAGCUUUUUAUAGCACGCAUUGAUGUGGUCGAUUGACCCGGUCUUAACUAUAAUUUUCUAAGGUUGACCUCGGAUCAGGUAGGAAUACCCGCUGAACUUAA